rnacentral:misc_RNA from 1 species
CAGAGUUGCAAAACUCCCAACCAUUGUGAACUUACCUUACCGUUGCUUCGGCGGGUGGCCCCUACCAGGGCCGCGCCGGCCCCUCCCCGGGGCUGGCAACCCGUCAGAAGACUCACACUCUUUGUUAUCGUUGGCCUCUCUGAGUAACUUAUACAAUAAGUCA